rnacentral:snoRNA from 1 species
UAUAUGAUGAAUACAAUACACAGACCUGAUCCGAACAUUUAAUGUGGAUACCGUAUUGUUGCCUUCCUUCUGAUAUCAUUUUCCCUUUCACCAUGACUAUUAUAUCGAUAUUACUACAU